rnacentral:tRNA from 1 species
AUAACUAGUCUAACACAAGACAACUAAUUUCGACUUAGUCAAUCGUGACUAAACUUCACGGCUAUCAA